CGUCUCUUCAGGUUUGGACUCCGUGGAAUGAGACGAAACCUAUUCGAGGGGAACAACAGGGAAGGGCUUUUUGGGCCUCCUCUGCCGGCAUUUCUAGAGUUUUCUAUCCAGAAGUAAAAUUCUCGCCAGAAAAAAAGUUCCUUUUCUUUUUGCAGUUGUCCUCUUCCCGCUGCCCUAGGAGCGCUAAACAUCCCCAGAAGAGCCCUUCGGACUUCGUGGGAUGUCCGCUUCCUGGGACCCCAGGUCCAAGGCUUUCAGGGUUCACCCCAUCCCCGCCCACCCGCGUCCCCAAGACGGCGGCACCCUCUCGGUUUCGAAAGGGGAGCUCAGCGCCCACGGGCUGCCCUCUAGACGUUUCCAUUCUCCCGACGUUUAUAUGCUUCAGCGGCCAGUUUUGAAGUUUUGAACAGCGGCCACGCUUGAAAGCCUUUCACAUCCUCCCAUUCUGCAGAGGGGGAUGCACGAACACAGGCGGGCAGCUGCUGAAACUCAGUAGUUCCUGGAUCUUCACUAUUUGGCCCCAGGAUGGUUUCUCCCCGCCCUCAUCAGGUGCAACUGGUCUCUGCACUAUCUGCAGCCCUGCAACUACCCUGACCUGCAUGAUUCCACACCGAUUCCAGAGAACUACCAGGCUGCAGAGGCUGAAGGCACAGGCAUGGGACUUACCACGAAUACAAGAAAUGAGGAUUCUGAACUAGAAACUGAUGACUAAAACAAGGGCAAGAAAGAUGACCUGUUUGCUUGGAGAGUGAGAGCUGAGGUGUGGACUCCGGGCCUGGACUAUAGAAGUUCGAGGUGGAGCCUGUCCUGGGAAGUGCAAGCAGGAGCCUCAACUGAGCCCACACACUGAAAACACAGAACUCAGGAGAUGGAAGGAAGGAAAUCAAC
ensembl:lncRNA